GUUAUGGUAGCUAAUGAAAUCGGCGGAUAGUUUUUGACAUCUGUAACGUCUCCCGUUCUGUCCUUCACAACUGGCACCACCACAUUCCUCAUCAAUUCAUCUGUUGUCAUCAUGCUGCGUAACAUUAAUCAACCUCGGCUGUGCAGUGGAACGAGACUGACAGGGAAAACGCUGCUUAUGAAUAAAGUCAUUGAGGCAACGAUCAUCGAGGGAAAUUACAAAGGAGAGCAUUCACCAUUUAAUUUUAAGCUUCUAGACCAUAAAUAAAUUGCGGAUUCAA